UUGAAAGAGUGGUAAGAGUAAUUGUCUCCCAAGGUGUUCCAGUUGUUAAAUCUUGCAGACGAUUGCUACGCUCUCGUUCUACUUGAAUCCAACACUUUUUGUACUUUAUGUAAUGCUUUCCAGGACCUGGAACGAGGCUGAAUAUACGAUUUGCAACUUGCUUGUCAGGUUUUUCCCUAGCAUUUUGCGGCAUUUUGAGUUGUCUGUUGCUUUCAACAGCCAGCUGAUUUGAAUAGCGUUUAGGCACCGUGCUCAUCCAAUGCAAAAAGGCAUUAUAACUUUUUUCUUUGCUUGGAAUUUCGACAGACACUAGCAUCCUUCUUUUUACUAAGCUUGCUCCUGAAAUAAGCCCACGACGUAAUAUGGCUAGCCCAGCACCGAAACCCAUUAAACCAAUACCAGCACCUAAAAAUGAAUUUCCACUUAGUAACCCAGAAAUGCCAGAAGACGUCGCUGCAUCGGCAGCACCUAUAUUAUCCAUUUUUAAAGUGGAAAGACGAUGAGAAGAAGGGAGGAAAGUUAAUAUUAAUUUAAUUCUUCAACGUAACGAUAGCGGUUUCUUGCAUAUAAAGGAAAUUUUUGGUA